AGCGAAAAUAAGGGAUUCUCAGACUCAAGAAAGAUCUCAAAGUUGCUGAAGGUAAUUUUCUUAAUUUUUCUUGUCUCUUUAAUUUUUUGUUUAUGCGUGGAUUUAGAGCUAUGUAAGAACACUGUCAAUGUUUUCUAAUUUCUCUACCCGGUGACUUUUUUGCUAAUACAAAUUCAAAAUUUCCCUUUCAUUUAGUGAUGUUCCCUCUCGUUUUACUAUUCUUUUGUUUUUACAAGUGGGUAUAACCGUAUGAGUUGUAGAGCUAAUUUUUUAUAAUAUAAUAUUCUAAAUUAAAGUUAUCUGUGAGUUUACAAUCUCGAUUUUUGUAUGUUCUCCAAAUGUUAUGGGGUUUUAUUUUGUAGGGCUUGCUAAAUAGUUUGUUUGAGGCGUAGAUGAUGUUGCAGUAGGGUAAAAAGCAGCAAGACAAUUGUCUUCGAAGGCGUGAACAGUGAACACACAGCAGUAGGAAAAGAGAGCAAGGGUAGAUGUUUCAAAAUCAAGGAGCUUCUUCAAAAAGUUGUAGUCUUAUUGCAAUAUUGUGUCGGAGAAAUAUUAAAUGGAAAAACCAGCAAGAUUAAACGAGGUAACUAAAAUUGCAGUCUGCUAUUGAAU
rnacentral:lncRNA from 1 species